rnacentral:rRNA from 1 species
UCGUAACAAGGUCUCCGUUGGUGAACCAGCGGAGGGAUCAUUACUGAGUACUACACUCUCUACCCUUUGUGAACUAUUAUACCUGUUGCUUCGGCGGCGCCCGCGAGGGUGCCCGCCGGUCUCAUCAGAAUCUCUGUUUUCGAACCCGACGAUACUUCUGAGUGUUCUUAGCGAACUGUCAAAACUUUUAACAACGGAUCUCUUGGCUCCAGCAUCGAUGAAGAACGCAGCGAAACGCGAUAUGUAAUGUGAAUUGCAGAAUUCAGUGAAUCAUCGAAUCUUUGAACGCACAUGGCGCCUUCCAGUAUCCUGGGAGGCAUGCCUGUCCGAGCGUCGUUUCAACCCUCGAGCCCCCGUGGCCCGGCGUUGGGGAUCUGCCACGGCAGGCCCCUAAAACCAGUGGCGGACCCGAAGGCCCUCUCCUUUGCGCAGUAGCAUCAGCCUCGCAUUGGGAUCCCUCGGCGUCCUGCCUCUAAACCCCCCACAAGUCCGCUCCGGCGGCACCAAGGUUGACCUCGGAUCAGGUAGGAAUACCCGCUGAACUUAAGCAUAUCAAUAA